UACGGAGGGUGCAACGUUGCUCGGAAUUAUUGGGCGUAAAGCGCACGUAGGCGGUUCGCUAUGUCGGAUGUGAAAGCCCUCGGCUUAACCGAGGAAGUGCAUCCGAAACUGGCGAGCUUGAGUAUGGAAGAGGGUCUCGGGAAUUCCCGGUGUAGAGGUGAAAUUCGUAGAUAUCGGGAGGAACACCAGUGGCGAAGGCGGAGACCUGGGCCAAUACUGACGCUGAGGUGCGAAAGCGUGGGGAGCAAACAGGG
rnacentral:rRNA from 1 species